CGGCUAAAGUCAGGCUGUAUAAUGUUGCUUGCAGUGUGCUGUUGCAGUAACCUAAGCAGUAUUUGCACUGUGCAUGAGGCUGACUCCUCUGUCAGUAAUACUAGCAUUCUGCUAAGAAGUCCAUUAAUGUACUGGGAUUUGGUGUGAGCCAUGAGGAAGCCAACUCUGCUUAUGAUACCAGAUUGUUUAGGGUGGCCAAAGCAGAAGAGGAUUGCAGAUAACCCCAAAAGGAUCUUUCCAGACUGUGUAAGAAAGUGCAAACUGAUGCAUAUUGGGACAAAAAAAAAAUCUGAUAACUUGACAUACACACUAAUGGGGCCUGGAACAAGAGCUUGGGGUUGUAGUUGGCAGCUGUGAAAGAGACAGAUUGGCAUGCUGGGGAUCAUUAGGAAAAAUAUUGCAAACGAAGCAGUCAAAAUCAUAAUGCCAGCAUAAAAAUCCAUGGUGCAACUGCACUUGGAAUACUGUGUACCGUCUCUCUUGGUGAUACCUCAUGGGUCAGGAGCACCGCUUGUAACUACUAGAACAUCCUCCCAGUUGAGAUUAGACAGACACCCUCCUUGCUAAACUUUGGAUGUGUGACCAAUAUUUUCUUAUUUCAGCAGGCGUUUUAAGGUAGCGUCCGGCUUUAUGGUGCAUUUUUCCUGGCCUUUAUUGUUUGAAUUGUUCGCAUUUUGUUUUGUAAUUUUAUGUACACUGCUUAGUAUUGUUAAUAGGUAAAGAUAAAGGGACCCCUGACAAUUAAGUCCAGUCGUGAACGACUCUGCAAUUGUGGCGUUCAUCUCGCUUUAAAGGCCGAGGGAGCCGGUGUUUGUCCACUUCUGCAGACAGUUUUUCCAGGUCAUGUGGCCAGCAUGACUAAGCCGCUUCUGGCAAAAGCAGAGCAGUGCACGGAAACACUGUUUACCUUCCCGCUGGAGCGGGACCUAUUUAUCUACUUGCACUGUGUGCUUUCGAAUUGCUAGGUUGGCAGGAGCUGGGACCAAACAAUGGGAGCUCACCCCAUCGCGGGGAUUCGAACCGCCGACCUUUCGAUCAGCAAGCCCAAGCGGCACAGUGGUUUAACUCACAGCACCACCCGCGUCCCUAGUAUUGUUAAUAACUGAUACGUAAAUACUUCAAAUAAAUAAAGUUCUGUCUCACCUCUAAAAGGAUAUUGUAGAGCUGGAAAAGGUUCAAAAAAGAGCAACCAGCAUAAUCAUUGGGGUGGAGAAAGUUCCCUAGAUAUCCUAGAUGGGUUUUUCAAGGCUCUUUUUAUUGCACUACGUUCAGUAUGUCAAUCAAAAUAACACAUUAUUUCCUUGUUUACACCACCACUGUAUCAAAUUAUCUCAUGCUCUGUAGGAGGCAACACACAGUGAUAGGGCAGUAAUUAUGAUGAAGAUAAUAAAUGUUAUAAUAAUAAUAAUAUUGUUCUGAAGACAUCUCAGUGAAUCUGAAUGCAAAACAAACUUGCACCUGGAAGUUAUAUUUUACCUCAGCUACAUUCCUCUUUCUGGUUUAAAUUGUCUUCAGCUCCCUAAUAAAGCUAUUAGUUUUGUUAAAACAAGAUGAGACAGUAGCAUUCCAGUUAAAUAUGACUUCUCAGAUUAAUAUGUUAGUCCAUGAUGUACUUUAAUUUCCUCAGGGACGAAGAGUGUUGUUACAAAGCAUUAUGGUUAUAUAGCUGUUAUGUACUGUAAAAGUAUGAGUCAGUAGUCCUUUAAAAGGUUAACAGACCUUUUCGUUCCAGGAUGUUCUAUCUAGGAAAAAAAAAAAGUACUGUAAUCCAGACAACUGAAACAACUAAAACAAAAUCCUUUGGUAUUCAAGCACGAUAUAAUAUAUCAAUCAUAAAACAAUAAUUUGAUGUCUGACAUUCUUCAAAGGUAAAUUAUAUUUUGGUAAAAACAAUGCAGCGUCUCACACAAGAUAUGCGUGGUUGAAGCUUGUAUUGUUUUGGAGGCCUGCCUGUUUAUGAGAAGCUUGUAAAUGAAGACUAGUUUCAACCAUGCAAGCAGAGCUGUAAAAUGAUCGUGGCUGCGGGCUGCGUACACAACUGUACAUUUGAGGCACAUUUCCUUCCUCUCAAAGGAUCCUGGGAACUUUAGUUAAAGGUGCUAGGAAUUGUAGCUCUGUGAGGGGUAAACUACAGUCCCCAGGAAUUUGGGGCGUGGGUGGGUAUGUCCUUUAAAUAUAUGCUAUGCAGUGCUUUAUUUCUAAAAAAAUGUUUAGGGGUACUCUCAUUUUCCUACUCAUAUUGAAAUACUGCCCCUCAAUGAGGCCAAACUUAGAUUCACAAAAUGUUUAGGGGGUAUGCGUACCCCCAGAGAAAAAGCACCAAUGUUAUAUAUGCAGCCAUGAUCAUACAUGGGCAUAGCAUGAGCAAGGGAGAAGCGCACACAAAGUGUGUGAAAGGCUUUAUUGAUAAAUGGGCAGAAUGAGCAAGCCUGUUUUUCAUUUCAAACCAGCUUUCCUGUUCAGUUCUGGGUAAUCAGUAGCAGUAAAAUCCCAGGCAUUCUCCCAUCAUGUUAAGUAAACGUGUGGCAUGUGUGUGCAGGGAUGAGCAUGUCAUCGCCACACCAGUUGACAUUCUCCACAGUUGAGCAAUACAUUUAUUAUGACCAACUGAAAUGCCAUGAAGUAAUGAGCAAGCACUCAUUGUCUUCUUUCUUUCUUUCUUUCUUUCUUUCUUUUGGACCAGCUUUGCUUUCUUAUAGACCUUUGUUUUGUUUUUUUGCAUGUCCUGGAAAAUCAAGAUGCUGAAACACAUGGGGAGUCUCCACUGGUACAGGGGCAGCUGCCCAUUUCAGAUAGGUGCCCUCCAACUUAUGGAGUGUAUAGUAUGGAACUCAUUUCCACAGGAGGCAAUGAUGGCCCCCUACUUGGAUGGCUUCAUUUAUUAAAUAAAAUGAAAAAUGUAUUAUGGAAGGGGGCGGGGUUAUUGGGGUUUGUUGUUGUUCUAUGUAUUUUGUGGUUUUUAUAUUGCAAAUUUACGUUGCUAACUGCCCUGAGAUCUGCAGAGGGAGGGCGGUAUACAAAUUUAAUUUUAAAAAAUAAAAGAGGAUUCGACAGAUUCUUGGAGGAUUUGUCUAUCAAUGGCUGCUAGCCACAGUGGUUAGGUUCUGCCUCCACUAUCGGAGGCAGUAUGUGUAUGAACGGCAGUUGCUGGGAAUCGCAAGUGUUGUUCUCAGGAGCUAGCUGCUUUUGGGCUUCCCAUUGGCAACUAGCCACUGUCAGAACAGGAUGCUGGACUAAAUGGACCACUGACCCUCAUAUUCUCAUGAAGGUGAUGAAAAUGACAAGUUGAAGGUUGUGGGGAAUAGAGCUAGCACAUUCAUCUUUGUGGCUGUGAUAAGAAUUUUAAGGUCUUAGAUAUGUAAUAAAUGUUCAUAAAUGUACCAAGCAAAGACGUACAUAAAUAAAUAAACCACAUGUCUAAAAACCCCACAGAAAAAAACAAACUGACCUCAAUUAUUUCUCUGCAAGGUCAAAGUGGGAAACCUCCCCGUUGUCUUUUUCCUUCACAAAUCCUAUCUUAAGGGCACAUUUAAGGUAUGAAUAGGGUGUGAGCCUGUGACCUGGCCCAAGAACUAAGUAUUUAUCAUUACAAAAGGCUGGCCAGGCUCCCCAAGCAAUCCAAUCAAGUGACCAUUAAACGUAACCUGUGAGAUAAACAAGUCAAUCAAAUUUCUGCUGUAGACCGCCUUUUCUGUGAUGUAGGAAUGAUGUAUCUGGGGGGUGGUCUUAGGUUACACCCCUUCUGUGAUGUAUGUAUGAUGUAUCAAGGGCUGGUCUUGAGCUCCAGGGCAGGGAAUUUAAAAUGUCUAUAUAAGGCCUUGCGCGCCAUUGUUCUGGGUUCCUCCUCCUUUCCUGUGUGUGAGGGGAGCACCCUGUUGCAAUAAAUCAAUAAAGAUCAGGCUUACUAGCUGUUUUGCUUCUCAAUAUUCUCUGGUUGGCCUCUGUUUAUUUUCUCCUACCAAUAGGCAGUGGCGUAGCGUGGGUUGUCAGCACCCGGGGCAAGGCAAGUAAUUUGCGCCCCCUAACCCGUGGAUUUUAGGUAGGGGCAGAGAGCUGCGAGUGCGAGCGCCCCUCCCAGAUGUUGCGCCCGGUGCGGCCGGCCCCCCCUGCACCCCCCACGCUACGCCACUGCCAAUAGGGAACCUACGUAAAGACACUAUAUGGGCUCUUGGAUACCCCAUAAGGGGGGAAAAGGGCAGAUUUUUGUUUACAACAUGGCCUACUAAGAGAGCUAUGGCCUUCCAGGACUUUAAAUUGUGUUAUAGGCCUCUAUACAAGUAGAGGAGGCUCCUUUGCUCACACCUUUGCCCUCCAGCUCAGGGUGGGGUGGCAUUGGGAGGCAGAGCUUCUUGGCACAGCUCACCCCAGCUCUCCUCCUCAUGAUGCUACUUCUGUGGGGAGUCCUAACUCCUGAAGAGAGUUUAUGUUAUGGUGGUAAUAGCCCUGGCAUAGCACAGCCACCUGGCAUGGCAUGCCUACCAUCUCUCCUCUCCACCCCCUAAUACUGUUGUCUUUUUAUAGAAGACACGUAACAAGUGCUCGCUCUAUCUCCCGGAGCCUGAGAAGCAAACGGACUUCCAGAUUUUAAUGGAAAGCUACAACACGUCAGUGAACCGUAGCUAACGAAUGCAGAACAUGGCAAUUAUUGCACAUGGAAGUUGGGGCAAGGGUGUUUUUUUAAAGGGUUUUUUUUAACACUUGGAGUGUGAAGUUUUCCUUCUGCCAGACCUUAGACUGCACUUUGCACAGGCUUUUUGUCAUUAAAAUACUCUUAUGUAAGCCUAAUUGACACAGUUAAAAGAGCUAUUACUCACAGAUGUCUGUUGCUAUAGUAAUGGGGGAGAAAGGCAGAAUGCUCUUCACCCUUCUCAAAAUAAUAGACAUUAUCAUAUGUAAAGGCAUUGUGUCUUUUUUUUUUUUUUUUUGUAAAGCUCCUCUUCAGAAGCUAGGCACUUUGUACAUGUUGUAACAAGGAUGAACCCUCAUUAAGGAGUUCAUAAUAAUUUUUAACACCUGCCAAAAUGAUGGAGAGGGAGAAUGAAUGCAAGUGUAAAUCAUAAUGUUCCAGGAUACAGUAUAUGCUUUUCUAGUGAUCUCAACUUUUUUUUUUAAUGGGGCUUUUAGGAAAUCAGUAUUGUUCCCAUGGAAUUGAAAUUAGUAUCAAAAGCUCCAGAAAGAGAAAACGUGGUAUUAUUUUAUGUGAGGGUUUUUAGCCUCUCCUUUUCCCCUCACAAAGUGGUUCAACAAUCAGUCCCUCUUCCCAAGGAAUUCUGGGAACUGUAGCUCUGUGAGAGGAAUAGGGGUCUCCAAACAACUCUCAGCAUCCUUAAAGUCACAAAUGUGAGUGAAACAUUGUGUUAAGUAUGGCCGUCCUGUGUACAUGUCCUGUGUACAUGUGAAACCUGAGGGAGCCCAGGACCCUAGACAUUUGGUAACUUUCUUCCACCAACACUGCCGCCAACCUGUCUGCUAUUGCCCCUGGAAUACAGCAUUAAAAAAUGGAUAGCUGUGAAUAUAUUUUUGCUUUCAUCUUUAUUGUCCUGGGGAAACUCUACUGGUGCCCUUCCAGAAUGAAACCCAGUACCUUCAGCAUGAGGAAAGAUGCUUUGUUUUCAUACAUAAGAUACUGAAACGCAUUUCAGGAUCGAUAUCAAGUGCAAGUGCCAGUCAGACAAUAUUGCUUAUCUUUUAUUUGCAAUGCAGCCUACCAUGUCGCUAUUUACUUGUGCAAAACCUUUAAUGAAACGGCUCCAAAUCAGGCUGCCCAGCCAACCAGAACAUGUCACUCUUGCCUUAACUUUUCUUCCAUGCUACAAAUGGGUAAGCAGUUGGAGGAAAAUACAGGUUGAAGCAGGCCCCAUCCGUCCAGGCUUUUAAAUGAGUUUUAGAAGUCUCAUCAUUUCAGGUUGCAUUUUUUUUGCUUGAUGGAUUUGUUGUGCAGCGGUUUUGAAACCGUUUCAGAAUUUGUAAUGCCCGUGCGUUCUGCUUUAACUGCUUAUUUUUAUUGAAAUGUGUGGUUGUAUUUUAUUAUUGUAUUAUGAUGUCAGCUGCUUUGGUUUGCCCUGAAAUAGUGGCCUAUAAAUAUUUAAAUAAAGGAAUGAAGUAGGGAUUUGAACCAUGGACGUAGCUAGGAUUUUUGUUGGUGGGGUAGGCUUUUGUUGCGGGGGCGGAACCUCAUAUUUGUAUUGGUUUUUAUUUUUAUUGAUUUAGGGGGGCAGCUGCCUCCCUGGCCAUGCACAUGAUUUGAACCUGGGUCUAUGAAGUAGGACCACUGAGAAGUGGGUACACAGACUGUACGGAUGUACUGCAAGCCUUCAGUCAGCUGGACCCCCAGACUCUGAGCUCCCCCCCCCCCUUUUAAAGUAGGUCUAGUCCUCUUGGAAAUAAAGUGAUGGAACAAACUAUACAUGUACUAUUCACAGCCAUUUCUGUGAGAUGAGCCUUCCUGGCUUUCCCCACCUUUCAGUAUUUUUAGAGUGAAGUUGGGGCUAUGGAUGUUAGCAGCAAGUCAGGUUACUUUUAUGUUUCAUUUUAUUUUUCUUUCUGUACUCUCUCUUCUUCCUAUAACUAACUGGUGAAUUCUCAGACUAAAAACAAAAAGGGAAAGGGAAAAGUAAUACUGUAUUUUUUUUUAAAAAAAAUAUUUUAAAAAAUUUCAGAUGAUGACAAUCUGUGUUUUUUUUAAUAAUGUCUUCUGUGGACUUUAUAGCUUUGCAUUAACUCUGAUUCUUUACAUAGAACUUGUGUUCUACUUUACGCAUAGAAGCUGCAUGUGUACAUCACCUUCUGUUUAUUACUCAGAGAUCUAGAAAACGGUAUCUUUGUUCCAGCUCAAGUACAAUAUGUUCAUGCUAAGUCUAUACACAGGCCCUCCAUUUCAGAUACUGUGGUGUAUUUUGACCUGGCAGCCCCAUUAACAGCUGAGUUUGUUCUGAUAGCGGGACGAUGUUUGCUGUCCUUGCGAGUCUGGCAAUUACAUUUGCUUACACCACAGUCUGCCUGGUAUUUACAAUUUAAUAUUUGCUGCUUUCACUUUUUCAGGUUUCACUGCUAAUGCUUUAAAUUAAGCCACAAGGGAAGGCUUGACGCUGAAGAGCGUUUUGCCUAACACCUUUCCCAAGCUGUCACUUCUGCCUUAACAAUGCAUUCCUGAUUUUGCCACAGCUACAGUACUGGUGUUUGCUAAAAUCCCUGGAAGUAAAACUGCAAGUUUUAAUUGUUAGAUCAGCCCACUAAAACUUUGGCUGAGGACCAGUUUUAACCAGAGGGGUUAAAGGUAAAGUCUCUCUGUGUGUGUAUAGACCUGGUGUGUCGCUAUACUAAUGAAUGAAAAAGAAAAUAUUAAAAAUGGCCUUUCCUUCUUUUGCAGGGAGCAUUUGCUUAUUAAAUGUCUUUGUUUUAUUUCUUUAAGUGUUUAUUGGCCUCUCUUCUGCUGAAGCUACCAGAGCGCCUUAAGCAUAAAACAACACUGCAACCCAGCAGUUGUACUACUAAUGUUUGAUGAACAAGCUUACUCUCAGGUAAGUGCACAGGAUCGCAGCGUAACAACAAUUGUGUACUGGUGAUGUGCUGGCUAAGGGACAAUAGGAUUUGGUGGGUGCACUGCUGCCAAUGUUUUGGUAUUUUAAUGAUUGUAUGUUUUAAAGUAGGGUUGUAUUUUUUAAUUGACCUUACUGAUUUUAUCUUUUGUAAACCGCUUUCAGGUGUAUAAAUUUUAUGAAAGAAUUUUUUUUAACUGAAUUAGCAAAUGCACCAUCAGAAUGCAAAAUUCUACACUGUCAUAGUGGCUGAAUGCCUAAAGCAGGACAGAGUAAAGGAUGGGAUGUCAGUGGAACAGGGAAGGAACACACAGGUCUCUUCCACGCUGUGGGCACAUCCCAUCAGUGGCACUUCUUUAGUCCAGAUCUGGAAGAAUAAAUGUCCCUCCCAUAGACUUGCUCCAGGCAGGCUCAUUGGGCUGCCUCCCCAUAUCCCCUACUGUCAGGGGGUGGAGGAGGCCAAGCACUGAUUCAGUGGCCAGCUGCUGCUCCUUCUGCCAUGGAAGACUGCUGAGCAUGAGAGAAAAGGAGCCAAUGACCACUGUUUUUGGCUUCAUCCCCUGGCUCCUCCCAAAAUGCCAUGUGACAUCACAUGACGCAUGUGUGAUGUCAACCGGACCCUCAAUCUUUGGCGCAAGUUGGCACCUCUGUCCAGAAGUCAAGUGUUUCUCAUUGCCUCUUCUACUUGGAUUAGACCAGGGGUCAGCAAACUUUUUCAGCAGGGGGCCGCUCCAUUGUCCCUCAGAGCUUUUGGGGGGCCGGACUAUAUUUUUUUGGGGAGAAAUGAAAUGAAUUCCUAUGCCCCACAAAUAACCCAGAGAUGCAUUUUAAAUAAAAGCACACAUUCUACUCAUGUAAAAACACCAGGCAGGCCCCACAAAUAACCCAGAGAUGCAUUUUAAAUAAAAUGACAUAUUCUACUCAUGUAAAAACACGCUGAUUCCUGGACCGUCCGCGGGCCGGAUUUAUAAGGCGAUUGGGCCGGAUCUGGCCCCCGGGCCUUAAUUUGCCUACCCAUGGAUUAGACAACACACAGUGAUUCCCCUUUCAGUUUGCAACUCUGGCCAAGGGCAAGUCCUUUAUAUGAGCUGGAGAGAAGAUUCUAGAAAAUAUUGGAAAUACAAAAUAAACUCAUACAGGUGUGGAUGCUGGGGUGUGUGAGGGUGAAGCAAAGCAGAUCAGGCGGGGUAAUACCAGCCCUUUAAAACCAUAAAACAGCUGUCUGCUCCUCAGCCAACAGGAAUGUAUGUACAAUCUUUAGCAGAAUAAGCUGCUUGUCUUCCUGGCCAGCUUGCCUCUGUUAAUGUUGCCUUUAUGGGAAUCAGAGAAGUUCUGUCCACAGCAAUCUAGUUGUUGCAACUCGGCAGGGAUGGUAAUAAAUGUAAUGGAAACAGGUGUCCAAUGGAACGGAGAAGCAGAUUCCACACACAGCUGUGUCCGCCUUGAAUAAAGGUUAAUUGUUUCACAGUCAGGAGGAACAGCUUAAUGGACAAUUGAAAAUGGAUCAUGGUUAAUGUUUCCAUUAAAAAAAGAAGAAGAAAAGAGUCUUUAACUGUGUAAAAAGCAAAUACCAGCAAAAAAUCCAAUGUCACCUUAAAGAGUGACAAAUGUGUUACGGCAUAAGCUUUUGUAGACUAGAGUCCACUUCAUCAAAUGCAUGGUGUUAUUCUAAGUUGACAGGUGUGAGUGUGUGUGCGUGCGCGCGCACGCGCACACACACACACACAUAUUUGGGGGGGAGAGGGAAAUAGAGAAGCAGUGAGGUCCGUAGGAAAUGAAAUUCAAAGAGGAGGGAUUGUGACCAUUAAACCUUAAAUGUACGUAACAAACAGUGUGAUGAAACACAAAGCAAUGUUGAUGAGAGCACAAAUAUAUUGGCAGAAAUUCAACAGGAAAUGAUGGGGAAAGAUUUAUAUCCAUUGUCCAGAAAGGCUCCACCUACUUGUUUCUCCACUCUCAACGCUCCUUAACUGUAGGCCAGAUUUCAUGUUAAGGUAAGGCUAUUUUCAGAAAAAGACAUUCUGAGAUGUUCCUGCCAUUGAUUUUUAUGGCCACUGCAUCAGGCCCUAAAGGCAUUAUUUGAGCUCUUAUGCAAACAGGCAGUGCAGUGAUUCCACAUAACUUGUAUAAGGUUGCCAACUGUUAAAGCCCUGUGCCUUUAGCAGUAGCUUGACACAAAGAAAUUAAACAGGUGUGUUUUUGUCAAUGCAAAAAGGCACAUAUUUAUAUAUAUAUCUGAGGUGGGGAACCUGUGGCCAUGAAGAUGCUGAGCUACAAUUCUGGUCAUCCCUGACUACUGGCUGAGACUGGUGGAAAGUGGAGUUCCAACAACAUCUAAAGAGCCACAGCUCCCCUCUCCCUUCCCUGCUUUAAUGUAAGGUAAAAUGACAUACCGGACGCGGGUGGCGCUGUGGGUAAAACCUCAGCGCCUAGGGCUUGCUGAUCACAUGGUCAGCGGUUCGAAUCCCCGCGGCGGGGUGAGCUCCCGUCUUUCGGUCCCAGCUGCUGCCCAUCUAGCAGUUCGAAAGCACCCCAAGUGCAAGUAGAUAAAUAGGUACCGCUUUAUAGUGGGAAGGUAAACGGCAUUUCCGUGUGCUGCGCUGGUGCUGGCUCGCCAGAGCAGCUUCGUCACGCUGGCCACGUGACCCUGAAGUGUCUCCGGACAGCGCUGGCCCCCGGCCUCUUAAGUGAGAUGGGCGCACAACCCUAGAGUCGGACACGACUGGCCCGUACGGGCAGAGGUACCUUUACCUUUACCUUUUAAAAUGACAUACAUUUAUGAGUCCAUAUUAUAGUUCAUAUUAAAGUGGACAGAGGGAGACCAAGCAUUCUGAAAAGAUUCACUGACUAUAAAUAUGUUUGCUGCCAAAUCAGAUAAUAGUGCUUUCAUGUAUACCAGUGUUUCCCAAACUUGGGUCUCCCAUCAGUUUUUGAACUACAACUCCCAUCAUCCCUAGCUAGCAGGACCAGUAGUGAGGGAUCAUGGGAGUUGUAGUCCAAAAACAGCUAGCAAUUCAAGUUUGGGAAACACUGAAGUAUACAAAUCCAUUCAGAGAGCCCUAUAGGACAUUUUGAGCAUUUAAGGGCGCUACACAGUCAACUUACCUGCACAAUAAGAUAAAGGUCAUUUUCCUGAAGUACACUGGCUUCAGGUCUAUAAUAAGUGUACUUAAGGAAGUUUAUGGAAAUGAAGUUUCCUAUUCCUUCUUUGCCCCAACAGCCAAAUCAUGAAUAAAUGAAUGAACUCUCCCAGGGAGGAGAGAUGGCAUCACAGUGAAGCAGCAAUGCAGUCCCUUGGCUUAUUGUUCUCUUGCCUACGAUGACCAGCCAGGUGAAGUGGGAAAAGACUUAUUCAUUUGUCUCUAUGGCAACAGGGCAACCUCUUUGGACAUGCAAAUGGAAGGACUUAACUGGUUAGCUUAACAAAGGAUCUAGUCAGACUGGUUCACCAGGUUUCUUCUUGUAGAUUCUAACAGUCACAGAAUCAUAGGGUUGAAAAGAACCCACGGGUAUCAUCUGGAUUGCCCCCAACCUAUUAAAAAUACGUUUUAAUAUGAUUUAUAAAUAUACAUACUGCACCACAGUUCAGUUUAGAAAUUAUCAGGGUGGUUCACAUGAUGAUAACAGCAAAAUCAUAAAAAAUACUGCUAAAUAGGACCAUAAAUACAGUAUUAAAGCACCAAUGAAACCUCGGUGGUCUGGAGGCACCUGGAGUAAUGUGAAUCUUACCAUUGGCAGCUGGGUCUUUUCAUCCUGGCAUCUGGAACAGACAAAGUAUAGGUUGUGAGUAUAUUCAGGAAGAAUAGUGUUUAUUUACUUUUCUGUAGGUUUAACCUGAAUGAUCUUCCCAAAGAUCAUUCCAAAAUGAUCUUCCAAAAACAAAACAAAAAAAACCUUCACAACAUUUCUUCAAAAUGUGUUAACAAUGCAACUAUAUAUAUAUCUACUCAAAAGUAAGCACCAUUGAGCACAACGGACCGCAAGCCUAAAAUAUGCACGUAGAGAGAAACUUCUUUCCAAGAAAGGGUUUUCUAAAAAUCUUCCAUCACAAUGCAUGUGUUCAAGAGAGAGACUCUAGGCUGUCAAUGAUUGUUUAUUCCAGUUCACUGACUUGGGCUACACAGGAAAAGAAAAUCCCAUCAGCCUCCCUAUGCUAUGUUUAUAUGAGUGUGUGUAUACAACGUCUGUUUCCCAAUCUGACUGGGAAUCUGCCAAAACUAUUAGGUAUUCAGUGUUUUUUUAAAAAAAUUAUUUUAUAAAAUUUACUGCAUGAUCGUUUUUUUUAAAAAACCCACCUCAAAGCAGUUUACAGAAAGAACAUCUAGGACAUCUAUGGAACCAGAAAAGACAGGAAAGCAUCACCAUUCCCAAAAUGUAUUCUGGCCUACCUCAAAAAAUACAGAAUUCUUCUGCAACCUCUUUUGUGUGGGAAAAGCGUGAUAUUUUGUAGCCUCACAUCUAGAGAAAGUGCCAAACAAGUUGGCAGUGCAAGACUGAAAUCUCUGGGGCUUGCAACAGUCCUAGCAUGUACGGUGAAUAGUCUGUGUUUUCACCAUGGUAAAUUAUGAUCCCAAACUUUUUACCUUUCUUUGUAACAAGGCCACAAUGUGCAUGUGUUAAGAAUAGCCUACAAUGUGUUUACUAUGAACUACCGUACCAUUCUGGAUGAAACUGAUCCAUGCCCACUGCACAUAAGCCUGUGAUUAGAAUUUUGUGGGUUGUUGUUGCUGCUGUUUUUUUUAAAAAAAACAACAACAACUGUUUCAUCAGAAUGUUAAAAGUCUAUUGUAGUCAACUUGUAAACACAUCAGUUGUGCACAAAAGAGAUGCAGCAGCAGGGAAAAAAAUAAUCCUUUAAGCAGCUGGUUAUCUUGGUUUAGAUUUGGAACACUGCAAACUGUUUUAAACAUGCAAGUCGAAAAUGUGGUUUGUCUGCUUGGCUGGGUGUGGGGGGAAACAGCUGGAUCUAAAUAGAAACUCCCACCUGUGCAUACAGAACUUUUAGUAUCCACAAUAAGAGUUUUCUGGCCAAGCCACCAUUUCAAUUUGUCAGUGUUUAUUCUGGGCACCCAAGCUAAAAAGUCUUCGAAUCCUCUUGGACCAUAUCUAUUUUUCUUCUUCCCCCCCCCCCACCCGUUUUUAGAAUGCAUAUAAAUGCAGAGAAUGAAUCCACAGGAGGAUUUUGGAUUUGUUCAGACAUUACUUUGCUCUUGCAUGGAAGCCAUCUGUAUAGAAAAUAAGUAACAUGAAUUAAGCAGUCGCCAAGCAUCAUCAAGUUUAUUUAUAAGCCACUUUUCCAACCGAUGCUCAAGGCAGCUCACAAGAACUGUAAACCAAUCAAUAAUAUAUAGGUACAAGAAAAACAGCUGUAAAUAUAUCAAACACAUUUCACAGAAAUAGUGUUUGGUAUCCACAUGAGCAAUAUCACAAAUGCAUUCAUAUUAAGGUACAUUCGGUAACCGGAGUCUGUAUGCUUAGUUAUUAUUUAGACUGUGUUAGACCAAACU